AUUGAACGCUGGCGGCAGGCCUAACACAUGCAAGUCGAACGAGUGGCGGACGGGUGAGUAACGCGUGGUAACCUGCCUCAUAGCGGGGGAUAACUCUUGGAAACGAUAGCUAAUACCGCAUACUGUGAGAUGGACCUGCGUUGUAUUAGCUAGUUGGUGAGGUAAAGGCUCACCAAGGCGACGAUACAUAGCCGACCUGAGGGGGUGAUCGGCCACACUGGGACUGAGACACGGCCCAGACUCCUACGGGAGGCAGCAGUGGGGAAUAUUGGACAAUGGGCGCAAGCCUGAUGCAGCCAUGCCGCGUGUAUGAAGAAGGCCUUCGGGUUGUAAAGUACUUUCAGCGGGGAGGCGUUACCCGCAGAAGAAGCACCGGCUAACUCCGUGCCAGCAGCCGCAGUAAUUC
rnacentral:rRNA from 1 species